AUGGGAAUUCUCAAAAUAUCAUGGAAUGGCUGCUUCUGGAUUUUAAGAAGUUCAGGGAUGAGCUCAUCUGAUCCUCUGCUCCUUCUCUGGGGGGAAGGGCCAGGCCAGGCCAGGAAGGGGAUUUUCCAGCAGUUUCCUGGUGUGCACGGCAGUGCUGAGAAACGCAUUUGACCCUUGGCGCCACCGUCCGCUGUCCGGGAAGGAGCAGGGUGGAACGGGCCGUCGGGAGGCCGUCUGUCCGUGGGCCGUGGAGAGUCCUGGGAGUCCUGGGGGCCUCCGUGGUGCCGCGGCGUGUGACUCGGGCCUGGAGAGAGCAGCUGAACAUCUGCAGGUGGCCUACGCGUCAAGCAACAUGCUAGUUCUGGAGAGGGAAGGCACAAUAUCCGACUGACUCACCGCUGCUUCACCUGCUUUCCUGCGAUUCCCAGUCCCAGUCCCGCAGCAUCAUUGCCAGUGAGUACCUGGUGUGGAGGCUGGGGCAGGGAUGCGGGGGAGGG